AUUUAUAUAGUUUAACUAAAAACAUUACAUUUUCACUGUAAAUUUAAAUUACAUUUUUUAUAAAUU
rnacentral:tRNA from 1 species